CCUACGGGAGACUGCAGUGAGGAAUAUUGGUCAAUGGACGAGAGUCUGAACCAGCCAAGUAGCGUGAAGGAUGACUGCCCUAUGGGUUGUAAACUUCUUUUAUAUGGGAAUAAAAUGUUCCACGUGUGGCUUUUUGUAUGUACCAUAUGAAUAAGGAUCGGCUAACUCCGUGCCAGCAGCCGCGGUAAUACGGAGGAUCCGAGCGUUAUCCGGAUUUAUUGGGUUUAAAGGGAGCGUAGGUGGAUUGUUAAGUCAGUUGUGAAAGUUUGCGGCUCAACCGUAAAAUUGCAGUUGAAACUGGCAGUCUUGAGUACAGUAGAGGUAGGCGGAAUUCGUGGUGUAGCGGUGAAAUGCUUAGAUAUCACGAAGAACUCCGAUUGCGAAGGCAGCUCACUGGACUGCAACUGACACUGAGGCUCGAAAGUGUGGGUAUCAAACAGGAUUAGAUACCCGAGUAGUC
rnacentral:rRNA from 1 species